AGUUUAAUGAAAUUAUAUUAAAUGAAUCCUGCCCAGUGUAAAUUAUAAAUGGCCGCAGUACCCUGACUGUGCAAAGGUAGCAUAAUCAAUUGGCUUUUAAUUAAAGUCUGGAAUGAAUGGAUAUUUGAAAAAUUACUGUCUUUAAAAUAUUUACUUAAAUUUAAUUAUUAGGUGAAAAUACCUAUUUUUAGAAAAAAGACGAGAAGACCCUAAGAAUUUUUAUUAAAAAGUUUUUUUACUUUUUGUUUUUGUUGGGGCGACAAUUAAACAUUUAAACUUUAUUUAUUAACUCAAAACGAAAAUGUUAUAAAAGAAUAAAUUACCUUAGGGAUAACAGCAUUAUUUAUAAAAGUUUGUGACCUCGAUGUUGGACUAGGAACUUAAAGGCUAGCAGUCUAAAAAGAUUUGUUCUGUUCGAACAAUAAAAUCCU
rnacentral:rRNA from 1 species